rnacentral:rRNA from 1 species
UAGGGAAGUCUUCCACAAUGGGCGGCAAGCCUGAUGGAGCAACACCGCGUGAGUGAAGAAGGGUUUCGGCUCGUAAAGCUCUGUUGUUAAAGAAGAACACGUAUGAGAGUAACUGUCCAUACGUUGACGGUAUUUAACCAGAAAGUCACGGCUAACUACGUGCCAG